rnacentral:rRNA from 1 species
CACUCCUAGGGAGGCAGCAGUGGGGAAUUUUGGACAAUGGGGGCAACCCUGAUCCAGCAAUGCCGCGUGAGUGAAGAAGGCCUUCGGGUUGUAAAGCUCUUUUGUCAGGGAAGAAACGGUGGUGGCGAAUAACUACUACUAAUGACGGUACCUGAAGAAUAAGCACCGGCUAACUACGUGCCAGCAGCCGCGGUAAUACGUAGGGUGCAAGCGUUAAUCGGAAUUACUGGGCGUAAAGCGUGCGCAGGCGGUUGUGUAAGUCAGAUGUGAAAUCCCCGGGCUCAACCUGGGAAUUGCAUUUGAGACUGCACGGCUAGAGUGUGUCAGAGGGGGGUAGAAUUCCACGUGUAGCAGUGAAAUGCGUAGAUAUGUGGAGGAAUACCGAUGGCGAAGGCAGCCCCCUGGGAUAACACUGACGCUCAUGCACGAAAGCGUGGGGAGCAAACAGGAUUAGAUACCCCAGUAGUCCCAUGAU